ACUUUUUUAUUAUAAAUUUUAUUAUAUUUGAUUUCCAAUCAAAAGAUCUUGCAAAAAGAAAAAGUA
rnacentral:tRNA from 1 species